CGGGAGGAUGGAGAGGUUAAAUAGAGAGUGGAGAGAGGGGAUCGGUCUCUUCUAUCCUACAGACUCGUCUGCUGAAGUAGCUGGAGAGAGUUGGCGGAGUGCGGUUCAGCCUGCAGGUUCCUGACGCCUGUGUGGCCACCUGAACUCUGGUCAACCUGGGUACUUCUUAAGGAUUUCUGGGGCAUGUAGCCCACUGCUUGCUUUUUAUCUUAUUUGUGGAGGAGAUGAGGAGGAGAACCCAACUGCCAAGGGUUUCGGGCACUCGGGUCCUCUGCCUGUUCUAGUGAGCACUGCGUUGUGGCCUCCUGUCAUGAGGACGGGAUGGACACCACAUGGAGUCACUGGUCAUGGUUCAGGGGCCUGCAGUGGACAGCGCCAGGUCUACUCUGACCUGCCAACGAAGCACACGACUCUAGAAGCAACCAACCACAAAACAAAAGCCGACAAGUUCACCCUUUCCCUUUUCCCUUUUGGUCGGCUUCUGGUUGUCUGUUGCUUGGUUGGCAGGUAAUGGGGAUGGCCUGCUGUAAAACAAACAACAACCCUUUUUUUUCUUUUCUGUUUUGUUGUUCAAGGCUGAGUGCAUUUUUCCGAUAAAAAACUAAAAUAAAAUAAAAAUUGCAAAAACAUGUCAAACAUA